rnacentral:tmRNA from 1 species
GGGGAUGAAGGGUUUCGACGGGGAAGGCUGGUCACGGACGGCGAGCCGGGGGGCUCCGGCCCCGUUAACAACGGAGCACAAACCCAAGAGUGCCAACGAUUGGGCUGCGAUUCCUGUCGCCGCAUAACGCGGUAGUGGGAAAAGCGGACCGCUGAAGCGCGGUCCCGUCCGCCCCGGUCUCGCGCCGGUAGGCCGGGGGCCGGGCGUCAGAAGGCUGGCGUGCGGCGGCCGGACGCCGAUAGGGCCGCUCAAGAAACCCAUCGGCUAGGCCUGGGUGUAGCGCGGUCGGCAGCGACUCCCCGGGCGAGAAGCAAGAGCCGACUACGCUCGUAGAAGUCCCUGGUCGAGUUCUCCGGACGCGGGUUCGAUUCCCGCCAUCUCCACCA